rnacentral:rRNA from 1 species
GACGAACGCUGGCGGCGUGCUUGACACAUGCAAGUCGAACGGAAAGGCCCUGCUUUUGUGGGGUGCUCGAGUGGCGAACGGGUGAGUAACACGUGAGUAACCUGCCCUUGACUUUGGGAUAACUUCAGGAAACUGGGGCUAAUACCAGAUAGGAGCUCCUGCUGCAUGGUGGGGGUUGGAAAGUUUCGGCGGUUGGGGAUGGACUCGCGGCUUAUCAGCUUGUUGGUGGGGUAGUGGCUUACCAAGGCUUUGACGGGUAGCCGGCCUGAGAGGGUGACCGGCCACAUUGGGACUGAGAUACGGCCCAGACUCCUACGGGAGGCAGCAGUGGGGAAUAUUGCACAAUGGGCGGAAGCCUGAUGCAGCAACGCCGCGUGCGGGAUGACGGCCUUCGGGUUGUAAACCGCUUUCGCCUGUGACGAAGCGUGAGUGACGGUAAUGGGUAAAGAAGCACCGGCUAACUACGUGCCAGCAGCCGCGGUGAUACGUAGGGUGCGAGCGUUGUCCGGAUUUAUUGGGCGUAAAGGGCUCGUAGGUGGUUGAUCGCGUCGGAAGUGUAAUCUUGGGGCUUAACCCUGAGCGUGCUUUCGAUACGGGUUGACUUGAGGAAGGUAGGGGAGAAUGGAAUUCCUGGUGGAGCGGUGGAAUGCGCAGAUAUCAGGAGGAACACCAGUGGCGAAGGCGGUUCUCUGGGCCUUUCCUGACGCUGAGGAGCGAAAGCGUGGGGAGCGAACAGGCUUAGAUACCCUGGUAGUCCACGCUGUAAACGGUGGGUACUAGGUGUGGGGUCCAUUCCACGGGUUCCGUGCCGUAGCUAACGCUUUAAGUACCCCGCCUGGGGAGUACGGCCGCAAGGCUAAAACUCAAAGGAAUUGACGGGGCCCCGCACAAGCGGCGGAGCAUGCGGAUUAAUUCGAUGCAACGCGUAGAACCUUACCUGGGUUUGACAUGGAUCGGGAGUGCUCAGAGAUGGGUGUGCCUCUUUUGGGGUCGGUUCACAGGUGGUGCAUGCCUGUCGUCAGCUCGUGUCGUGAGAUGUUGGGUUAAGUCCCGCAACGAGCGCAACCCUUGUUCACUGUUGCCAGCACGUUAUGGUGGGGACUCAGUGGAGACCGCCGGGGUCAACUCGGAGGAAGGUGGGGAUGACGUCAAGUCCUCAUGCCCCUUAUGUCCAGGGCUUCACGCAUGCUACAAUGGCUGGUACAGAGAGUGGCGAGCCUGUGAGGGUGAGCGAAUCUCGGAAAGCCGGUCUCAGUUCGGAUUGGGGUCUGCAACUCGACCUCAUGAAGUCGGAGUCGCUAGUAAUCGCAGAUCAGCAACGCUGCGGUGAAUACGUUCCCGGGGCU